CGCGUAGGCGGCGCCGGCAGUCGGCCGUGAAAGCCCGGGGCUCAACCCCGGAGGUGCGGCCGAGACGCCGGUGCUGGAGGCCGGAAGAGGAGGGUGGAAUACCCAGUGUAGAGGUGAAAUUCGUAGAUAUUGGGUGGAACACCGGUGGCGAAAGCGGCUCUCUGGUCCGGACCUGACGCUGAGGCGCGAAAGCGUGGGGAGCAAACA
rnacentral:rRNA from 1 species